CUCUGCCUUCUUCCCGCUGUAUUACCAAGAGUAUGGCUGCACGUGGUUUGUCUAGAACCUUCACUGGCUUGUACAACCUCCGUAUAAACCCUAUUAGGGUUAGCUCGAAGCUACGAAGAGCUUCUCUCAGGAACGCGUAUAUGGGAAACUCUUUGAAUACGUGCCUGCUAAAUGGGUUUUUUUUUAUAUAUAUUUUAUUUUAUAGAAAUAUCAGAGAUGAUGGAACAGUGAACUGGAUAAUUUAAUCGCCCAUCGUUGCUAGCUCGUUUCAAAUUUUAGGUUUUCUCUGGUUAAUUUUAUUUCCUUGUAAGGAGCUUGUUAUACCAUUGCCGCUUCAAAAGCAGGACAAAAAAAAAAAAAAAAAAAAAAAAAACAAAAAAAAACUUCCCAAUUGUACCACUGCUGACCAGAUACGAUGCCUGAUCUUUCUUUUUUUUAAGCAAAGAUUGCUGAUUUUAUAUACCUUUUUAUUGCUUUACUCAUACCUUUUAGCUGUUGAAAUUGAAAAUAGCUGGCUUCCGGCCCUUUUGUUAAUUGUUCAGAGAAACACUCCUAAAAAAAACACCAGAAGCUAAAUCCCAAAGAGAAGCUGAAAAAAACUACCAUUCACCAAGCUUCCAAUGCAAGUAAGAAGAUGUAAGUUGAUCUGUAAUGAUUUGCUAAUUUUUAAGUGACUAGUCAAAUUUCACCAUUAGCAAUGCCUGUCGAAAGAAAAGAAAAGAAAAGAAGAGAAAAAGCUCUGAGGCGUAGAUUUUAAUAGUGUUCUUCAUCGACUUGAAUGCUAAGGAGAUAAUAACUCCUGAAGAAGAGCUUUAACAUCACGUGGAUCACCUGACAGUUUAGAGUAUUGGGUGAUGAAAAAAGCACUGAUCAAGACAUCCUGCAUCUUCUAGCUGACAGAUUAAAUGAUGGAGCUUUUAGAAACUAUCCCAUUUCAGGAACUGCGAGGGACGUCCUGCCGAAGGACUGACCUCUGGAAAUAGGGUUUGGAAAACAGGGAACUGAAAGCUCCCCGUCAGGUUCAGGAUAUGCCAAUGAGAAAAGGGUGCUUACUGAGACUCAGGCAGGUGCAAGCCAAUCUUUUCUGAAAGCAACUACGUAAAAAGGUAUUCGGGGCAGGCCCAGAUAAAGUUCGUGGCUGGUGCCUAUCAAUCCACGUUACUUGGGUUUGAAGACGACCCACUUAAGGUUUUUGUCCCGCCAGAUAAUAUAGUGCUCUCGAACAAAAUAGGGAAAAUAAUUCUCGCGUGGAAGACAGGGCUUGUGCUUCCUAUAGAAUGGGAGCAAUCUUAAUGGCUGUUUCCUAAAGACAAGGAGGGUGUACCCUCUUUCCAAACUUUUGACUAUGGAAAUUUCUGUUGCUUUGCCCUUCGCUAUGAAGGGUACUUUUGACUUUA